GGAUGUGAGGGCACUCUGGCUGCGACAUCUGUCCUCCCAUUGAUCGCCAGUGUUGAUUCGGCUGAUCUGGCUGGCUAGGUGGGUGUCCCCUUCCUCCCUCACUGCUCCAUGUGUGUCGGUCCCGAAGCUGCGCGCUCGGUCGAAGAGAAAGAGGACAGCCUUCCCCGAAUAGAGACAGACCGCUCUUCAGUUAUACGAGUUAUACGAGUAGCUGCACUCCCCUGCUAGAACCUCCAAACAAGCUCUCGAGAAACCUUGGGGCCUGGCGGUGGUGCACCCAAUAAAGGACACAUGACACAGUGUGCAAAGAACCUGGUUUGAGCUCCUG
rnacentral:snRNA from 1 species